CUGUAAGCCACAUCUGAGUCCUUACAGAAGGCUGAAUGGGAACUCCACCUACUGAUUGUUGACCAAGCAUUAAAUAUUUUGGAGGUUCAAAGGCCUCUGAGCUUGUCAUAAUGGGCUUGCUUUCAGAUCAUCUUCUGCAUACACUCCUCUGGAUUAUAUUGUAAAGCACUGGGACUCCUUCAACCCUCAGACUUUGAAGAAAAAGUGACUCAUAUUCUAUUGCACAAGGGCAUGGCCUUCUUACCAUCUUGGGGACAGACAAAACCUGAUCUGCCAGGGGAGCCUUGAUUUUAAUAUUAUCCAACAGUUAGAUCUUUUCUGCAGACAGAUGAGCAAAUGGACUGAGGUCCCCUAUUACAGACCUUUUUUGCCCUGCGAGACCACUCAGACCUUUACAACUUCUGUACAAUUGACCCAGUUCUUUUAGCAGCCACAGCAGACAAGCCCACAGGGAAUAGUUCCCCAGAGCUAAAGCAGGUUCCAGAGGAAUAAUCUGAGACAGCUGCUGAGUGUCCCAAUCCUUCCAGUCUCCCUUCAUACUAUCAGCUCCUCCAACUCCACCAUCUCCAGUAUAUCCUACUCUCCCUGCUUCACUCUUCCCUCUGCAGGAAAUGCCUGAUGGGAAUGGUGCCAUGAAGGUUCAAUUUCCCUUCUCAUUACAGGACCUUAAGCAAAUAAAGGGAGACUUGGGCCAAUUUUCUGAUGACCAAGUAGGUAUAUAGAAAUUUUCUAAAACUUAACUCAGGUCUUUGAUCUCACAUGGAGAGAUGUUCUGUUGCUGCUAAGUCAGACCCUCACUGUGGCUGAAAAGAAGGCAGUUCUGCUGGGCACGGUGGCUCAAGCCUGUAAUCCCAGCACUUUGGGAGGCCGAGGCGGGUGGAUCACGAGAUAAAGAGAUCAAGACCAUCCUGGUCAGCAUGGUGAAACCCCGUCUCUACUAAAAAUACAAAAAAUUAGCUGGGCAUGGUGGUGCGUGCCUGUAAUCCCAGCUACUCAGGAGGCUGAGGCAGGAGAAUUGCCUGAACCCAGGAGGCGGAGGUUGCGAUGAGCCGAGAUCGCGCCAUUGCACAACAGCCUGGGUAACAAGAGUGAAACUCUGUCUCAAAAAAAAGAAAAAAAAAAAAGAAGAAGGCAGUUCUGCAGGCAGCAGAAAAAUAUAUGGAGAUUUAAAAAACAUGCCUCCUAUAGCAGACCAAGGAGAAAAAGAGGAGAUAAAGAAGCAAUCAAAUUCCAAGUGGUGCUGCAAAUGGAACCAUACAUAGACACGCCAUUCUUCCAAGGACCCUUGGAUCGACCCCAGGAGGAGCCCUAGCUGCUGUUCCCCAUUCAAUGCCCCUUUUUAGCAGGAAGUAGCCAGAAAGAGUCACAGCCCAAAACCCCGUUAACAGCAGUUAGGGUGACAUAUCCUCAGGGGGGAAUGUUAUAGGAGUUGUUAAGAAAUUAUUUGGCCAUUGCUCUCACUGCUGCUACUGCUGACCUUACCACCGCUGCUUCGUCUCUGAGGUCCAACUGCUC